rnacentral:rRNA from 1 species
ACGGGAGGCAGCAGUGAGGGAUAUUGCACAAUGGGCGAAAGCCUGAUGCAGCAACGCCGCGUGAGGGAAGACGGUCUUCGGAUUGUAAACCUUUGUCUUCGGUGAAGAAGAAAGUGACGGUAGCCGAGGAGGAAGCCACGGCUAACUACGUGCCAGCAGCCGCGGUAAUACGUAGGUGGCAAGCGUUGUCCGGAUUUACUGGGUGUAAAGGGAGCGCAGGCGGGAUGACAAGUCAGCUGUGAAAUGUGUGGGCUUAACCCAUAAACUGCAGUUGAAACUGUUGUUCUUGAGUGGAGUAGAGGCAAGCGGAAUUCCGAGUGUAGCGGUGAAAUGCGUAGAUAUUCGGAGGAACACCAGUGGCGAAGGCGGCUUGCUGGGCUCUAACUGACGCUGAGGCUCGAAAGUGUGGGGAGCAAACAGGAUUAGAUACCCUGGUA